ensembl:lncRNA
AUUCACAGUAAAACUGCUAUUAAUUGCAUUUGCACUAUUGGUUACACACUUACUCAAUCCUUGCAUAAAUGUUCGAAAAAGAGUAUUUGUGAAUAUAUUGCUUCCCGUGGGACUAAAAUUAGACACAGACUGUCUGAAAGGAUGAAGCAGGGUAUUAUUUAUUAAUUAGUGCAAAAAAUAUCUUCCCAGCUGAAUAUUUCAGAAUGGCUUAACUAUGAAGGUGAUCUAUUAUACAUCUCUCUGAACAAAAGAGCAUAAUUGUAGGCAUGUAACAGGAUGAUUUUCUCCAUAAUCCAGACAGAUCUACAGUCAAGGAUAAUUAUUCCCAUACAGUCUAAAAUGUGAUUUAUAUUUAAAUGGUGAUUUAUAUUAACAUUAACUAUAUUUUGUUUUAUUUAAAUACAGUUCUGCAUUUAAAUUGCUGUAAGAUAUUAUUCCUUGAAUAAUAAGUUAUAAAAACUGCAUGUGUAAUUAUACAGAAAUAAAAAAGUUAAGUAUAAUAUGUAAUACUCCAGGACACUAAUUAGAAUUAGAUUAUGAUCAUUUCAAAUAACACUACAACAGCUACCCUAAUGUCUCAAAAUACUAGUGUCACACGGACAGAAUUGUAGCGCGCACAAGCGGAAGGACGAAUUAUAAACAUUGUUGCUCGCACGUGUAACGACGCGGACCAAUCAAAUUCACCAGAACGGAAUCAACAACAAAGCGCCUGGGAAAACUGUCCUGAACUCACGCGGAGCGCUCGUUCAUGACAGCGGCGUUAAUAAUAAUGAUUCAUCCGGGCUACUGACACAUUACUCCAGUAUAUCAGGGAGUUUGCUGGGUCUGCGGCCUGCAGAAGCGGGUGGGUUUACCCGACGGGUGUUCAAUGCUGGAAAAUUAGACCUUACUGAAAUAAAGGGUCUAGGUUAAUGGAUCCAUGCAGAGACAGAAGCACAGAGGCGACAGGCUCUCCAUCAAAUGGCAGGAGACCUGGGCUGCAUUUACCAAGACUGGAGUGUUCAGCUUAAAUGAAUGAGUAAAGGGUUGAUCAGGAAUAUCUCUUGUUUUUAGUACAUCUUUAUGGCCAGGUCUAAGAGCAGUCGUGGGCUAGUGGUUAGAG